rnacentral:rRNA from 1 species
UACAGAGACUGCAAGCGUUAUUCGGAUUCACUGGGCGUAAAGGGUGCGCAGGCGGCCGUGUGUGUGAGGCGUGAAAGCCCGGGGCUCAACCCCGGAAUUGCACCUCAAACUACAUGGCUAGAGCAUUGGAGAGGGAAGCGGAAUUCACGGUGUAGCAGUGAAAUGCGUAGAUAUCGUGAGGAACACCAGGAGGCGAAGGCGGCUUCCUGGACAAUUGCUGACGCUCAGGCAACGAAAGCGUGGGGAGCAAAAGGG